GAUGAAGAACGUAGCGAAAUGCGAUAAGUAAUGUGAAUUGCAGAAUUCAGUGAAUCAUCGAAUCUUUGAACGCACAUUGCGCCCGCCAGUAUUCUGGCGAGCAUGCCUGUUCGAGCGUCAUUUCAACCAUCAAGCCCCAGGCUUGUGUUGGAGCCCUGCGGCUGCCGCAGCCUCCCAAAACCAGUGGCGGGCUCGCUAUCACACCGAGUGCAGUAGUUUACUCUUCGCUCAGGGCGUGUGGCGGGUGCUAGCCGUGAAACCCCCAACUUCUCAAGGUUGACCUCGGAUCAGGUAGUAAUACCCGCUGAACUUAAGCAUAUCAAUAAGCGGAGGA
rnacentral:misc_RNA from 1 species